AAAGACUGGUUUGAACCUUGAAGCUUAAACCCAUUUCUUUUUGGCUGAAGCAAAUGUUUGUCUGUUAAACCCUCGUUGAGGUCGAAGAUGAAGAUUUCCAGUUUCAAUCCAUGAAGAAUUUCUUCGGAAACCAUUUUCGUUCCCAAAAGAACUUGUUCAUCGGCGUUUCAUUUUACUCAACAAAUACAAAUGGUGAGAUUUCACAUAGAAAUUCCUGGAAUGGCCCGAUGGGCGUUCUCUACCGUCAGAUUUCCCCGAUCGGAGAUCCUAAGCUCUCCGUCGUUCCGGUUCUCGAUAAGUGGGUCCAGGAUGGACAAAAUGUUAACAAAAGUCAUCUAGUGUCAGUGAUCAAGGAGCUCAGGUACUUUGGACGAUAUAAGCACGCUCUUGAGAUAUCUAUGUGGAUGACAGACAAAAGGUACUUUCAGCUUACAUAUGGUGAUGUUGCCAUUCGGCUGGACCUGAUCGCCAAAGUUCAUGGGGUAGAGCAAGCUGAGAAUUAUUUUAACAACGUUCCAAGACAAUUGAAAUCCCUUCAGAUUUACAACGCUCUCCUCAAUUGUUAUGCUCAUGAAGAACUAGUGGAGAAAGCAGAGGCCCUUAUGCAGCAGAUGAAGGAUAUGGGGUUAGCAAGAUCAAUACUGGCUUAUAACGCUUUGCUUAAUCUGUAUUUAAAAACUGGAAGUUAUGAAAAAAUGGGCAAUCUCUUGCAUGAGAUGGAGGAGAAGGGCAUUAGCAAUGACAAAUGUACGUAUGCCAUUCAGAUCGGUGCAUAUGCAGCCAAUUCUGAUAUGGAGGGAAUUGACAAAAUUCUGUCAAGGAUGGAAACUGAUCCCCAAGUUAUGGAUUGGAAUACUUAUUCAACUGCAGCAAAUGGAUGUAUAAAAGCUGGGCUUGUGGAUAAAGCUUUGUUAAUGUUAAAGAAAUCGGAGGAACUGAUAUUAACUUCUAGGAGAAAGUCUGAAGGCUUUCAACACAUUCUUACACAAUACGCUGCAAUAGGGAAGAAGGAUGAGGUGUUAAGAUUAUGGGAACUUUACGGUAAGCAGUGUAAGGUAUAUAAUCGAGGUUAUAUAAGCAUGAUAACCUCUCUACUGAAGUUUGAUGACAUUGAAAGUGCUGAGAAAAUCUUUAAGGAGUGGGAAUCCCAGGAUUUAAACUAUGAUAACCGCAUCCCAAACCCUUUGAUUAGUGCUUGUUGCAGUAUAGGUCUUUUUGAAAAGGCUGAAAGCCUUUUAAAACGGGUAAUAGAAAAGGGGGGAAAACCGAAUUCAAGGACAUGGCACUAUUUGGCAACAGGGUAUUUUAAACAUAAUCAAAUGCAGAAGGCCGCUGAAGCUAUAAAAGAAGAAAUUUCUGUUGCCGAGUCAUUCUCGAAGCUUAGUAAGGAUUGUUUGGCUGCUUGUCUGGAAUACUUGAAAGGAAAAGGAGAUUUGGAGGGAGCAGAGGAAAUUAUUACCCUACUUAGGGAUAAGUGUUUUUUAUCUGUGGAUAUUCAGGAUAGAUUGUUGAAUUAUAUAAAAGAUGGGGAAUCGAAUUCACAAUUACCAAUUGAAAUUUUAGCAGAUGCUUUGGAUAGAGAUGAAGAGACAUCCUAACUUUUAGCAGUGGAGGAGGGUGCCAGUGGAAGCAGAUGAUACGUGCUUAAAAAAAUGCCUGACAAUUUGUGAAAACUAAUGUAAGUGAGAGGUGCAGAAAGAUAGAACAGAGCAGCUGAGGUGAUGCAUUUAUUUCUAAGUGGCUAUACAGAAUCCUUUUUUUCUUUUUUUGAUAAAUUAUUUCUCUUUAGUUUGUACUUGUGCUUGUAAAUUGCAUAGCAAUGCUCCUAGAUGACGGUUAAAUUUUCAUUCACAUGCAUGACCCCUAGACUUAGUUUAUUGUACUUUUUUUUAGAUUAUUUGGUUUCUAUAUCUUUUUGGGUGUUUUUAUUCUGUGAUAUGGGUUGAGUUAUUACUUCAUGUCAUGUAUGGUUCCUGGCCUCACCGAACCCAGGAUCUGGUAGCUUGAAUUGAAAAGAUGCAAGUUUAACAAGA